rnacentral:rRNA from 1 species
UACGUAGGGUGCGAGCGUUGUUCGGAAUCACUGGGCGUAAAGCGCGUGUAGGCGGCCCAUUAAGUCUGAUGUGAAAGCCCGGGGCUCACCCCCGGAAGUGCAUUGGAAACUGAUGGACUCGAGUCCCGGAGAGGAGAGUGGAAUUCCUGGUGUAGCGGUGAAAUGCGUAGAUAUCAGGAGGAACACCGAUGGCGAAGGCAGGUCUCUGGGCUGACACUGACGCUCAUGCACGAAAGCGUGGGGAGCAAACAGG